GGAACCGGGGCUUUGUGCCCUCUUCGGCUUGGGGAGCAGCCGCAGCCCAGCCCUGCCCUGCCCUCAUACCGCCGCAGCACCAAACCUGUGGUGAGCGCUCACCUUGCCGCCAAGUGAGGCACAAGGGAGGGAAAGAUCUGUACAAAUUGCUGUUAAACCACAAAGCACAGGCAUAAGGGUCAUGCCUGACUGGACAUAAGGAGCUCAUUACAAAGUAGCAUUCUGUCUUCACAACUGUUUCUUUACUGGUAACCCCUUCCCUGAAUUUCGGAAGGACUUGCUGGAUUCCUCCCCGAGGCCUACGUGAGGAUUUCCAGAAGAGGAACAACGCAGGAAAGCAAACAGAAGUGUGAGGCAUGUGCACGUGGGAAGAAUCAUGUACAUUAAAGCUUCCUCAGGAAUAUUAACUGAUUUAAUUUAGUGUCCUGAUUUCACCUGGGAUAGAGUUUUCACCAAGCAUUGAAGACCAUCUUCAAAUACUGUCUAUGCAGGGCAGUAAACAGACAUUGCAGCUCCUUGGAUGGAAUUAAAGGAGUGAAGUCAGUUAAGUGACAUUAUAAUCAGGAUUCUGAGAUUACUUCUUUACAUGCAUUCACUUUUGUACUCUAUCAACUUGUUUUCAUUGUGAGUUUUGAAUGAACAGACAUGAAGGAGGAUUUUCUUCUUAAAAGAAGUGGAAAUCUGUUGGCUACUUCUGUUGGCAAGUCACAGGACAAAGCAGAGUGCCUGGGUAUCACGCUGGUGAUUUGGGCUUGGAGGAUUCUCUGCACUGUCAAGCAACUGGCUUCUCUUUAUUCAAGUUUUCAGGGGAAAAUGUGGCACAGCCAUUUAUACCGUCACCCUGAUGAGUUUGAGCCUAAUCUCAAGAUGAGAAUUAUCAGGCAUCAAGGAUCAGGCAUCAACAACCAAGUCCGUACUAUCCCAGCUUGAGAACAGAGAGCUGGAGAAAACUGCUAAGCACCAUUUUACUUAUAUCUCGUGAGUGGAUCUGGGCAGGAUAAUGGAUUUAACUCCUGUAUCCGAAACUUGACUGUUCUGAAACAUCACGUGGGUGCUUUGAUCUCAAUCCACAGCUAGCAGUGCAAAUGGAAAAUGAGGUGAUCCUCAGGGCCUAGCAAGAUGAAGUCCGUUCUCAAGACUGUUCUUCACUUCUUGAUGUAAUUAGAGCUAAAGAACAUUUAACAUUUACACUAAGUGUAUCAGCAAUAUUAUCUCAGCAAAACACAAAGUCCACAUUCUUUGAAGAAUCUCUUUGGGGAGCUGAGAAUCCCACCUUUGACCUGUAAAACUUUCUCGUGAAAACACUCUGUAUUUGCUUUAUAUUCAUGAUGAAUCUACAGCACUCUUAAAUCUGUCCAGAAACAUUGUUUCUCUAUCUAACACACUUUGUAGCAUUUGCCUUCAUGGAUAGAAUGAUUCAGCGUGACAAGAACAUAGUGUGCAAGCCUGCCAUGAAGCAAAUAUUUUUCAUUGUUUGCAGAAUCCCUAAAAUUCAACAGAGGAACAGACUGCUAUUGGAGCCAAGAAACAUCUGAAUGUCAUGUAAAGUUCAGUUAAUUAUUUUCUAAAUAGUCACCAGCACUACUCUAGCUUUUAAUUGGGUUCGACUGAUAUUGUUAUUACACUGCUGUCUUCCAGUGGAGGUGAAGGUUUGCCUUCACUUUGGUCUGCUUACUUUCGCAUUGUAAUGAAGCCAUUUCAGUAAAGGAUGCAUUCUCCAAGACUUAGAAAAACCAUGGCUGCGGUCUUCUAAAAAUUGCAGCAAGGUUAUUCUAGGGAAUCAGCUUAGUCUGAUUAGAACUCUGCACAAAUUUCAUGCACACUUCACCCAGAAGGACAUAUAACUGCUGUGGCCACAGCAAAACUCACAUCAGCUGCACUUUCAUUAUAAUCUCCUCUAUCUAUGUCUAUGGCAGCAUAAAAUAAAGAGAAAGAACUUUUGAGUGUUUUGACUCA
rnacentral:lncRNA from 1 species